AGGGAAAGUCUCCAGGAAAGUGGAAGUGUUUACCAAGCCCCUCUAAGUUGGGUAACUCCAAACCCUGUCUCCCUUGUGUAUAAAGCUUGCUGGUGGCAAUUUACCCCAGUGUGACUAUCGGGAGCAGUGAAAUCUGCUGGAGAGAAGCCACAUGUACAUUUUUCUCAGUAAAAUAGUUUUGUGCUAUCAUCACCAGAGCCAGCAAUUCAACCUAAAUUCUGAGUGUAAUGGAAGCCGUUAAUCACUAUCAAGUUCAUCAUUUUUUUUUCAUGGCAAGUAAUAUUCAUAUCAGUGAUUGCUAUUCCACUAAGAAAUUCUAAAUGUUUCAUAAAAAUGAAACACCACAUAAUAAGAGACUAAAUCAUAUGAAACAAAAUUUUGACUUUUGAAUGUAUCACUCAAGGCCAAUGGAUGAUAAUUUCUCUUUAUGAUUCUACAGGUAGCUCAU
rnacentral:lncRNA from 1 species